CCACUGGCGGCGUGCCCAUACGUUCAGUCGAGCGAAUCGAUGGCGCUUGCCCCUGAGAUAGCGGCGGACGGAUAACACGUGGGUACCUGCCUGUAAGACGGGAUAACUUCGGGAACCGGACUAAUACGGAUACUUACUUUUCUCGCAUGAGGGAAGAUGGACAGAUGGUUCUGCUAUCACUUACAGAUGGACCCGCGGCGCAUUAGCUAGUUGGUGAGGUAACGGCUCACCAAUGCAACGAUGCGUAGCCGACCUGAGAGGGUGAUCGGCCACACUGGGACUGAGACACGGCCCAGACUCCUACGGGAGGCAGCAGUAGGGAAUCUUCCGCAAUGGACGAAAGUCUGACGGAGCAACGCCGAGGUGAGCGAAGACGGCCUUCGGGUCGUAAAGCUCUGUUGUUAGGGAAGAACAAGUACGAGAGUAACUGAUCGUACCUUGACGGUACCUAACCCGAAA
rnacentral:rRNA from 1 species